rnacentral:rRNA from 1 species
ACCUGCGGAAGGAUCAUUGUCGUGACCCUAACCAAAAUAGACUGUGAACAUGUCAUCAAUUCCACCGGGCGAUGGCCAUAGUGUCGUCUCCUGGCAUGGGCCUCUAUCCUUCUUAUGACGGGUGGGGUCCACAAAAGAACCCACGACGUCGGAUGACGUCAAGGAACACUUUUAUUUAUUGCUUGCACAAUGGUGUGAACUUCUUGUUUGAUACACCUUGUGCUGUGAUGCUACCUUAAUCCACAAGACUCUCGGCAACGGAUAUCUUGGCUCUCACAUCGAUGAAGAACGUAGCAAAAUGCGAUACCUGGUGUGAAUUGCAGAAUCCCGUGAACCAUCGAGUUUUUGAACGCAAGUUGCGCCUGAGGCCACUUGGUCGAGGGCACGUCUGCCUGGGCGUCACGCGAAAAGACACUCCCCACCCUUCAUGGAGCGGGAUGUGGUGUUUGGCCUUCCGUGUCAUGUGAAUGGUUCGGUGGACUAAAGUAUAGGCUGCUAGCUAUGGGGCUGGUCAUAACACUUGGUGGAUGACAAAUGUUGUUCUCGGAGUUGUGACAUGUAUUGCUUCUAGCAAUAGUGUGGCUGUUAUGACCCAUGCAUCGGAGCUUUGAUUGCUUCAACCAUGACCCCAGGUCAGUCGGGACUACCCGCUGAAUUUAAGCAUAUCAAUAAG